AUGUCGAGCAACUCCGCCGCCCCCCGCCGCUUCUCGUCGGCGAUGUCGACCUCGACGGCGAAGCGCCCUGCCGUGCCGGAGGGCGCCAGGGCGGCCGCGGGCCCCGCGGCCGCGCAGCAGCAGGCGAAGAAGCGCGUGGCGCUCGGCAACCUCACCACCAACGUCGCCGCGGCGGCCGGGGGCAGGGCCGGCUGCGGGAAGAUCGCGGUCGUCACGGCGGGCAAUGCAAGGUUGAAUUCAGCUACCUCAGUUGCACCUGUGAAGAAGGGAGCUUUGCCAAGUGCUCGGAAUGCAAGCACAAAUCGUGGCUCGGCUGUGAAAUCGGCUUUCACCAAGCCAGCUCCUGUCACAUCUCGCCAUGAGAGCUCCGUACAGAAGGAGAGUGUUCCUCCUCGUAAGGUGCCUACUGUGGUGCCGAUUGCCGUGCCUGCCGUUAUACCCUUCAGCAGCUUCGCGUCUCCUGGACAUUCAGGAGAUUCCAUUUCCACUGACGAGACUAUGUCGAGUUGCGACUCUAUGAAGAGCCCCGACUUCGAGUACAUUGAUAAUGGUGACUCCUCAUUGCUCGAUUCUCUACAGCGACGGGCGAAUGAAAACCUGCGCAUUUCAGAUGAUAGGACUGUGGAAGGAGCUAAGUGGAAGAAGGAUGCUGCUGCUCCAAUGGAAAUUGACAACGUUUGUGACGUCGAUGAUAACUAUGAGGAUCCACAGCUGUGUGCUACUCUUGCUUCUGAUAUCUAUAUGCACCUGCGAGAGGCUGAGACGAGGAAAAGACCAUCAACUGAUUUUCUGGAAACAAUUCAGAAGGAUGUGAACCCAAGCAUGAGGGCUAUCCUGAUUGACUGGCUUGUGGAAGUUGCUGAAGAAUAUCGUCUUGUUCCUGAUACCUUAUACCUGACAGUCAACUAUAUUGACCGUUACCUUUCCGGCAAUGAGAUCAAUCGCCAAAGGCUGCAAUUACUCGGUGUCGCUUGCAUGCUUAUAGCUGCUAAAUAUGAGGAGAUUUGUGCACCCCAGGUAGAAGAAUUCUGCUACAUCACUGACAAUACAUACUUCAAGGAUGAGGUUUUGGAUAUGGAAGCUUCCGUCCUCAAUUACCUGAAGUUUGAGAUGACCGCACCUACAGCAAAGUGCUUUUUAAGGAGAUUUGUCCGGGCUGCACAAGUCUGUGAUGAGGAUCCACCUUUGCAUCUUGAGUUCCUAGCCAAUUAUGUUGCUGAGCUAUCACUGCUUGAGUACAGUCUACUUGCUUACCCUCCUUCACUUGUUGCGGCCUCUGCAAUUUUCUUGUCGAAGUUCAUACUGCAGCCAGCAAAACACCCCUGGAACUCCACCCUUGCCCACUACACACAGUACAAGCCGUCGGAGCUAUGCGAUUGUGUGAAGGCGCUGCACCGCCUUUUCAGCGUUGGUCCUGGGAGUAAUCUUCCUGCAAUCAGAGAAAAGUACAGCCAACAUAAGUACAAAUUUGUCGGGAAGAAGCAAUGCCCAAGUUCAGUCCCCGCAGAAUUCUUCCGGGACGCGGCAUGCUAG
rnacentral:rRNA from 1 species